UAAGGUAAGAGCUUAUGAAGGGAUAAGUAAUUAAAAUUAUAACCAGCGAGAAAACACGUCAGUUGACGACCAGCAUGGCGGAGGAGGGGAAGUGGUGCACGGCUGUCAACUCUUGAGUGAUAUUACUUCGUUAAUAAGCAAAUACUUCUAUUAUUCCAACAUCCAGGGUCAUCACCACAUCACAUAGAACACCAGAACUAUAAUGCAUCCAGGCAUAAUGCUGAAACCUAUGUCAGGCUACAUAAUGCCUAGUUCACUCUUAGUUGUGAAGGGUGAAGAGAAGACAGUUUCCCUGACCAAUGCUUCUAAAGGCCCUGAUGGAAGGCAAGGAGACCAUUGCUGUCAACCGAUGCAUUUUACUUUGAAUGGACAAGUCAGAAUCAGCUCUCUCCCAUUGUGAUUGUCUAACAAGUGGAGAAAUACCUGCUAACACUCACUUCUAUGCUCUGCAGUCAUUGCAACACUUCUCUGUGCUUGCUGCAACACUUGCUACCAAUGUUAAAUUAUUGCUGCAGCUAUUAUUAUUAUUUAAGUCUUGAAUCUUCUACCCUUUUAAAUGCUCCAACAGUAUUCCAUUGUCUUUAC